rnacentral:tRNA from 1 species
CAAAAGAAAGCAUUGUUGAUGUGUCUUGUUUACGCUGAGGAAAAGGAUUAUUCCUCUUUUGA